UACAGAGGGUGCGAGCGUUGUCCGGAAUCACUGGGCGUAAAGGGCGCGUAGGCGGCCUGAUAAGUAGGGGGUGAAAUCCUGUGGCUCAACUGCAGGGCUGCCUCCUAGACUGUCGGGCUUGAGCACGGUAGAGGCAGAUGGAAUUCCCGGUGUAGCGGUGGAAUGCGUAGAGAUCGGGAGGAACAUCAGUUGCGAAGGCGGCUCUCUGGACCAGCACUGACACUGAGGCACGAAAGCGUGGGGAGCAAACAGG
rnacentral:rRNA from 1 species